GAGGAAUAUUGGUCAAUGGGCGAGAGCCUGAGCCAGCCAAGUAGCGUGCAGGAAGACGGCCCUAUGGGUUGUAAACUGCUUUUGUAUGGGGAUAAAGUCAAUCACGUGUGAUUGUUUGCAGGUACCAUACGAAUAAGGACCGGCUAAUUCCGUGCCAGCAGCCGCGGUAAUACGGAAGGUCCGGGCGUUAUCCGGAUUUAUUGGGUUUAAAGGGAGCGUAGGCUGGAGAUUAAGUGUGUUGUGAAAUGUAGACGCUCAACGUCUGACUUGCAGCGCAUACUGGUUUCCUUGAGUACGCACAACGUUGGCGGAAUUCGUCGUGUAGCGGUGAAAUGCUUAGAUAUGACGAAGAACUCCGAUUGCGAAGGCAGCUGACGGGAGCGCAACUGACGCUGAAGCUCGAAGGUGCGGGUAUCGAACAGGAUUAGAUACCCUGGUAGUCCGCACAGUAAACGAUGGAUGCCCGCUGUUGGUACCUGGUAUCAGCGGCUAAGCGAAAGCAUUAAGCAUCCCACCUGGGGAGUACGCCGGCAACGGUG
rnacentral:rRNA from 1 species